rnacentral:rRNA from 1 species
UAGGGAAUCUUCGGCAAUGGACGAAAGUCUGACCGAGCAACGCCGCGUGAGUGAAGAAGGUCUUCGGAUCGUAAAACUCUGUUGUUAGAGAAGAACAAGGACGUUAGUAACUGAACGUCCCCUGACGGUAUCUAACCAGAAAGCCACGGCUAACUACGUGCCAGCAGCCGCGGUAAUACGUAGGUGGCAAGCGUUGUCCGGAUUUAUUGGGCGUAAAGCGAGCGCAGGCGGUUUCGUAAGUCUGAUGUGAAAGCCCCCGGCUCAACCGGGGAGGGUCAUUGGAAACUGGGAGACUUGAGUGCAGAAGAGGGGAGUGGAAUUCCAUGUGUAGCGGUGAAAUGCGUAGAUAUAUGGAGGAACACCAGUGGCGAAGGCGGCUCUCUGGUCUGUAACUGACGCUGAGGCUCGAAAGCGUGGGGAGCAAACAGG